AUACUUACCUGGCAGGGAAGAUACCGUAAUCACGAAGGUGGUUUUCCCAGGGCGAGGCUCGCUCAUUUCACUCCUGGUGUGCUGACCUCUGCGAUUUCCCCAAAUGUGGGAAACUUGACUGCAUAAUUCGUGGUAGUGGGGGACUGUAUUCGCACUAUCCCCUG
rnacentral:snRNA from 1 species